AGUGAACGCUGGCGGUAGGCCUAACACAUGCAAGUCGAACGGCAGCACAGUAAGAGCUUGCUCUUACGGGUGGCGAGUGGCGGACGGGUGAGGAAUGCAUCGGAAUCUACUUUUUCGUGGGGGAUAACGUAGGGAAACUUACGCUAAUACCGCAUACGACCUACGGGUGAAAGCAGGGGAUCUUCGGACCUUGCGCGAUUGAAUGAGCCGAUGUCGGAUUAGCUAGUUGGCGGGGUAAAGGCCCACCAAGGCGACGAUCCGUAGCUGGUCUGAGAGGAUGAUCAGCUACACUGGAACUGAGACACGGUCCAGACUCCUACGGGAGGCAGCAGUGGGGAAUAUUGGACAAUGGGCGCAAGCCUGAUCCAGCCAUACCGCGUGGGUGAAGAAGGCCUUCGGGUUGUAAAGCCCUUUUGUUGGGAAAGAAAAGCAGCAGGUUAAUACCCCGCUGUUCUGACGGUACCCAAAGAAUAAGCACCGGCUAACUUCGUG
rnacentral:rRNA from 1 species